GACGAACGCUGGCGGCGUGCUUAACACAUGCAAGUCGAACGAAAAUACCAAGCUUGCUUGGUUGAUUAGUGGCGAACGGGUGAGUAACACGUGAGUAACCUGCCCCUUACUUUCCUGGAUAACUGCUCGAAAGGGUAGCUAAUACGGGAUAUUCUGACCAGCCUGCAUGGGUUGGUUAGGAAAGGUUGUUUUUCUGGUAAGGGAUGGGCUCGCGGCCUAUCAGCUUGUUGGUGGGGUGAUGGCCUACCAAGGCUGUGAAGGGUAGCCGGCCUGAGAGGGUGGCCGGCUACACUGGGACUAAGAUACGGCCCACACUCGUACGGGAGGCAGCAGUGUGGAAUAUUGCACAAUGAACGUAAGCCUGAUGCAGCGGCGCCGCGCGAGAGAUGAAGGCCUUCGGGUUGUAAUCCUCUUUCGUCAGGAAAAAAGGCACUGCUUUUUUGGUGGUGUUGAGGGUACCUGGAUAAGAAGCGCCGGCUAACUACGUG
rnacentral:rRNA from 1 species